UUUUCCAUUUAAGUGGCAUCUCUUACAGACAAAUAUGUCAAUGUUGUUGUAGGUGGUCCGAAAAGGCAACUUAUUGGAAUCGGCUUAAUUAGCAUUUUUGUAAAUAUGUAUAUUAAAACACGCACAGCAAAAUAGAUGAAUUUAAAAUUGAUUAU